rnacentral:rRNA from 1 species
AGUGAACGCUGGCGGCAGGCCUAACACAUGCAAGUCGAGCGGCAGCGGGUUCCCGCGAGGGGAUGCCGGCGAGCGGCGGACGGGUGAGGAACACAUCGGAAUCUGCCUGGUUGUGGGGGAUAACGUAGGGAAACUUACGCUAAUACCGCAUGCGACCCUGAGUCGACGGACUGGGGGUGAAAGUGAGGGACCUUCGGGCCUCACGCGACCAGAUGAGCCGAUGUCGGAUUAGCUAGUUGGCGGGGUAACGGCCCGCCAAGGCGACGAUCCGUAGCUGGUCUGAGAGGAUGAUCAG